ACACUCCUGCGGGAGGCAGCAGUGGGGAAUUUUGGACAAUGGGGGCAACCCUGAUCCAGCAAUGCCGCGUGAGUGAAGAAGGCCUUCGGGUUGUAAAGCUCUUUUGUCAGGGAAGAAACGGUGGUGGCGAAUAACUACUACUAAUGACGGUACCUGAAGAAUAAGCACCGGCUAACUACGUGCCAGCAGCCGCGGUAAUACGUAGGGUGCAAGCGUUAAUCGGAAUUACUGGGCGUAAAGCGUGCGCAGGCGGUUGUGUAAGUCAGAUGUGAAAUCCCCGGGCUCAACCUGGGAAUUGCAUUUGAGACUGCACGGCUAGAGUGUGUCAGAGGGGGGUAGAAUUCCACGUGUAGCAGUGAAAUGCGUAGAUAUGUGGAGGAAUACCGAUGGCGAAGGCAGCCCCCUGGGAUAACACUGACGCUCAUGCACGAAAGCGUGGGGAGCAAACAGGAUUAGAUACCCUGGUAGUCCCAU
rnacentral:rRNA from 1 species